UACGUAGGGUCCGAGCGUUAUCCGGUAUUAUUGGGCGUAAAGAGUACGUAGGCGGUUUGAUAAGACAAUGGUUAAAUCUCCGGGCUUAACCCGGAAAGGUCAGCCGAUACUGCGGGGCUAGAGUGCAGAAGGGGCAACUGGAAUUCUCGGUGUAGCGGUGAAAUGCGUAGAUAUCGAGAGGAACACCUGCGGCGAAGGCGGGUUGCUGGGCUGACACUGACGCUGAGGCGCGAAAGCUAGGGGAGCGAACGGG
rnacentral:rRNA from 1 species